UGGCCAUCCGACUCCAACGCCGUGAUCGUGGGCGGGUGCCAAGAUGACCCAGGAUGUUCUGCUGAAGGACAUGCAGUCAUGGCCCCGUUCAAGAUCCGCAGUCACAACAGUCUCUUUUGCAGCCUUUUCUCCUUUUGUGGACAGGUACAAGGCCCAGAACUGUCCCGGCAAGUCAGAGACUGUAACCAUCCUCAACAGCUCCCCCACGGAUGCAGAGGUCCAAUUCUCCUUUGAGAAUGCAGGGCAAGCAGAGACAUUCCUUUUGCACCCUCGCCGCAUGACCCUGAAACCAAAGGAGAAAAAGGUUGGAGAAGGGCAGGUAGAGUGGGCACAGUUGAAGUGCCCAGUGGCUGCUCCUCCUGCUCACACUCAGAGCUCCUUUGAUUUCUUCAGUGGGGCCAUGUCCAGGAGCUGACCAUUUGGGCACACCCCACCUCCCCUGACUUCCUAGGAGACAAACUCAUCUGUAGCAUUGAGAAGAACCCAGAACGAGUGGUCUUCAGCCUGUGCUGCCAUGAGGUAGACAUGAAGCUGGAGGUCAGCUCCCUGCAACUGUUUUCUGACAAGCUGCUUCUUCACAGGUCAGUCAUCCCACAAGCACUCCAAGACUGGUGACAAAGAGAAAACGUUUGACUCUGGUUUCCGGGGCAUAGAUGGAGCUGCCCCGAAUUCCAUUCAGUGGUGAGGCUGGUGUACUCAUCCAGCAGCUGAUGCCAAGUGCCUUCCUGUCUCUGCAGGACUGACAGCAAGACCUUGGUCAAGAAAACCAACACCCUACUGCCCAUGGCCUGGCAGCUCAGUGGGCUGGAUGACCUUGUUGAGGACUUCUCCUUGUCACAAGAUAAUGGCAUCCUUGAUCCCCACUCAGAGUUUGAAGUGACACUGCAUUUCAAGGCUGAGCACAUUGGGGCAGCAUUGAGAAGAUUCUCUAAGUAGAGAUGAGAGGGACUGUGCUCUGCCUGUCAGAGCAGGGCACAGUGAGCGGCCAUGUGCUCCUAGGGACAGGAAGAGCUGCACCUGAGAGAGACAAGGGUGCUGUGAUCCCAACUUCUGCCUCUACACAGCAUUUGUCAAAACAUGCAGUGCAUCCACAUCGCCCCAGAUAAGCGGACACUGCAUUCUGAGCCUGUACCACAACCACCUUGUCCCUGUGAAUGGUUGAAGGCUGUUGUUUGGUGGUACGGACUGCAGCGUGAUCUCUACAUUCGUCCUGGACUUUAAAGCUCUUGCAUAGUGCAACAAACUCUCCCCCUGGGAUUUUGUUCCCCAUGGUUUAGGGGCUGCAUUUCAGACAGGGUACCAGGUGAUUGGAGAGGGUUGUCAAUGCCACCUGCUCUGAGACACCUCACACUUCUUGUGGUUGUUCUUACACCCCUGUGCCUCUCAAGGAUGCUUUAGCAGCAGCAUUACCUGCUGCAGGAGUGCAGAGUUGGGCUGAUAGGGUUUUUUACUGCAGCAGAAUCCCACUGGGGCAGCCCAUGAGAGGAACAGGUUAGCAAAGCUUGGGAGUCCACCAAUGCUUGUGAAGCCAGGGAGGUCAUAGGGGAAGCAGUCAGCAGAGACAAGGACUUUCAGGCUGUCUACCAAAAGAAUAAUCUGAACAGUGUUUGUUUCUUGCUGCCUCAGGUUUCAGAUACAGAAAACAUCCUGGGGCAUGUUCAGGCUAAAACCAUCGAAAUCUCUGCAGAGGUCUAUGUUUCUCUGAGCAUUGACAUGCCUGAAGGUCAGUGGAUGCCUCCCAAACAAAGCAGUCCAGGUGCACUGCAUUACCUUGGGAGGUGCAGAUGGAAACUUGGAGUUUGGAACCAUUAAUGUCCUGGAUAAAGUGAAGAAAGUCCUGAGUCUACAGAACAAAGGGAUAUACAACAUUGAGUACAGAGAAUUCGGCCACAAACCAGCAGUUCUUCACAGCUCAGCUGGAGCCCAAAGGAGAGCCCCAGAAAUUUGAGCCACUGAAAAGCUGAGACUCAUUGCCUUUUUUUGGUGGUCACCUCUUUUCUUUUUCUGAGACUCUGUAAAGGAGUGAAUGAAAAAUUUCAGUCUCAAGGUUUCUUGCAGUAAUCUUGUGAAUGUCUGCACUCUCUGUCAAGAUUCAGGAUUGCCUGAGCAGAACUGGACUCCCCCUUUUUUUCCUGGUCCUAUGCAAAGUCCUGGCUGUGUUGGUGGCACCUGUACUUUUAACUGCAGAGAUCUGCAUUCCUUCCCUUUCUCCCCAGUUUCACGCAGAAGGGUGCAGGUCCCGUGAUGCAAGACUUGGCAUCCCACUUCACUGUUGAGCCUCAGUCAGGCGUGCUGAUUCCUUCCCAGCCUGGUGAGAAUGUUGAGAUGCUCUUCCACCCUGCAAGUGAAAUGGUCCUCAAGAACAAACCCAGCCUGUACUGCCAGGUGAGCCGCCUGGGCCAGGCUGCAUUAUCACACAGUGUUUUGGGAGCGUAAACAAGAUAGAUGUCUAAUGGAAGGAGAGCUUUAACUGGAGAAUCCUCUCUCCUACAUAAACAAACAAAGUCUUUCAACACCAUUUGCGAGGCUUCUUAAGUGGAGCUGGGAAUCUGGCUGGCCUCUAUUGUUUGCCAACCCCUUCCUGUGGACACAGGUGGCAGAUGCCAGCUCAGGUCAAGCAGGCCAGGCUUUUGCCAACAUGCCAGUGAGGGUGUUGGCCGAAGCAGAGUACAGCCAGUAGAGGAUUGUGCCUGCCUCACCCACUGACUUCAGAGCCGUCCAACUUUGGCACUGUGAUGGAGGGCGCCAAGAAGACCUGGGCUGUUGUGCUGAGGGACAAGCAGUCCAGGCCCCCUUCAAGUUCCACAGCUGCUGGUCAUCCGACUCCGGGGCCGUGAUCGAGGGCAGGCGCCACGAAGACCCGGGCUGUUGUGCUGUUGUGCUGAAUGACAAGCAGUGCUAGACCUCUUCAAGUUCCGCUGCCGCCGUCUGUCCAACUCUGGCACCGUGAUCGUGGGCAGGCGCCAAGAAGACCUGGGCUGUUGUGCUGAGGGACAAGCAGUCGUGGCCCCCUUAAAGUUCCACAGCCACUGGCCGUCUGACUCCGGCGCCGUGAUCGCGAAUGGGCGCCAAGAAGACUUGGGCUGUUGUGCUAUUGCGCUGAACGACAUGUAGUCAUGGCCCUUUCAAGUUCCACAGUCGCAACAGUCUCCUCUGCAGCUUUUUCCCCUUUUGUGGACAGGUACAAGGCCAAGAACUGUCCCAGCGACUCAGAGACUAUAACCAUCCUCAACAACUCUCCCACGGAUGUAGAGGUCCAAUUCUCCUUUGAGAAUGCAGGGCAAGCAGAGAUUCCUUUUGCACCAGUGCCGCAUGACCCUGAAACCAAAGGAGAAGAAGGUUGGAGAAGGGCAGGUAGAGCGGGCAUGGUUGAAGUGCCCAGUGGCUGCUCCUCCUGCUCAUACACAGAGCUCCUUUGAUUUCUUCAGUGGGGCCAUGUCCAGGAGCUGACCAUUUGGGCACACCCCACCUCCCCUGACUUCAUGGAAGACUAACUCAUCUGUGGCAUUGGGAAAAACCCAGAACCAGUGGUCUUCAGCCUGUGCUGCCAUGGGGUGGGCAUGAGAAUCUGUCUGGCCUCUUUAUUGUUUACCAACCCCUUCCUGUGGACACAGGCGGCAGAUGCCAGCUCUGGUCGAGCAGGCCAGCCUUUUACCACCAUCCCAGUGAGGGUGUCAGCCAAAGCAGAGUACAGCAAGUAGAGGAUUGUGCCUGCCUCACCCACCGACUUUGGAGACGUCUGACUUUGGCACUGUGAUGGUGGGCGCCAAGAACGCGUGGGAUAUUGUACUGAAGGAUGAGCAGUCCAGGCCCCCUUCGAGUUCCGCAGCCGCCGGCCGUCUGACUCUGGUACCGUGAUCAUGGGCGGGUGCCAAGAUGACCCAGGAUGUUCUGCUGAAGGACAUGCAGUCAUGGCCCCGUUCAAGAUCCGCAGUCACAACAGUCUCUUUUGCAGCCUUUUCUCCUUUUGUGGACAGGUACAAGGCCCAGAACUGUCCUGGCAACUCAGAGACUAUAACCAUCAUCAACAACUCGCCCACGGAUGUAGAGGUCCAAUUCUCCUUUGAGAAUGCAGGGCAAGCAGAGACAUUCCUUUUGCACCCUUGCCGCAUGACCCUGAAACCAAAGGAGAAAAAGGUUGGAGAAGGGCAGGUAGAGUGGGCACAGUUGAAGUGCCCAGUGGCUGCUCCUCCUGCUCACACUCAGAGCUCCUUUGAUUUCUUCAGUGGGGCCAUGUCCAGGAGCUGACCAUUUGGGCACACCCCACCUCCCCUGACUUCCUAGGAGACAAACUCAUCUGUAGCAUUGAGAAGAACCCAGAACGAGUGGUCUUCAGCCUGUGCUGCCGUGGGGUAGACAUGAGAAUCUGUCUGGCCUCUUUAUUGUUUGCCAACCCCUUCCUGUGGACACAGGUGGCAGAUGCCAGCUCAGGUCGAGGAGGCCAGGAUUUUGCCAACAUGCCAGUGAGGGUGUCGGCCAAAGCAGAGUAGAGCAAGUAGAGGAUUGUGUCUGUGCGUAACUCUAAACCUAGACAAGUAAACCAGCCUAGGGUUAGGGAUGGUCCCAAGAAAGAAGGGUUGGAGGCAAAGAACUUCUGGCACUUCAGCGCUCCCCUUGGAAUGCAUAUUGCAGCUGCAGUGUGCCUGGAU